UUCGUAAACAUCAUCUGGUAAAACAAACAUCCCUCCGCGGCAAAAAUUUGUAAAUUUUACUGCAUUUCAUUAAAAAUUAAUUUUUAAUUAACAAAAAUCCGGCGUGUGCGAAAAAAAGUUAUAGAAAAGCAUAAAAUAAAGUGAAUGGCGAUUUUAUUAAAUUCACAAUAACUUAAAUACGAGUUUCUCUUUAGCUAAAAUAUAAAUCGUUUGAUGGAAAUACAUAAGAAAAAGUGACAUACAUAAAUUAUUUUAUAAUAGUCAGAAAAACAAGCGCAAUCAAGAACACCAUUUUCGAAUUGCUAAAACAGGCAUUUAAAACUUCUUAUAACAAGUGCAUAGUAAAGUUAAUAUAGCCACCAUAAACAUAAUACAGCAACAAAAUGUGGCAACCAACACCGUCAUCGUCAAGUGAUAAUAAGAAUAAUACCAACGAAGUGGUAGAAGUAGAUGAUUGUAAAUGUGAUAGUAGUGGUAUUACUGAACAACAGCAACAAUUAACAUUAGACCAACAGCAGCUACAACAAAAGCAAGCUCGAAAAAAUAACAGUAAACAUCAGCAACAAACGUCAACAUUUGGCGGCGGUCAAUUGACAGAAGGUAUCACCACAAAUAUCCAACAAUAUAAACAACAACAGGGAGAUAUACCAUCGACUAUUGGAUCAUCCGAAGAUUUAGGAGGUGAGGACAAUAAGAAAUAUUUGGAAUUCGCCGCAACGGAAGAAGCCACAGAUUCGGGCUUCAUUUCGGGACCCCAAACAUCCUCAUCCCUAAAUAUCAUUGGUGGCGUUGAGGACAACGCUAGUGAAGAAGGCGGCGCUGUCGGCGGAAGUGGUGGUGGAGAAGAAUUGAACAAAUUCAAUAUCAACGAUCAUCACAAAUUACAGCAGCAACAACAACAGUACGAAAUAUCCAAUUUAGAUUCGGGCUGCAUUGACGAAGUUGAAGACGAGGAGAGCUAUAGCGCGAAGCAACAACACUCUUCUGCGACUGAAACAACAAACGAACAACAAAUGCUACUCAAAAACAAUGUCGAUGCUGGCAUGUCAGAAUGGUUUUGCAAUCUCAGUUUGCAAAACAGUCCCACUACCAGCUCUACAAAUACCACAUCUGCCCCACAUCAACAACAACGUACAAAUAAUCAAAAUCAAUACAUGGUUGCGGGAACGGGUCUCAACAACUUAGAUGCACCCAAGACGCGAUCCAACAAUCAAAAACCUCCCACCUCACCAUCCACCACAUCAUUACCCACCGUUUAUCAACAACAAAAUGCAGCAGCUGGAUCAUCUGCUACAACACCAACCGCCGCCACCGCAACCAUUUGCAAUGUACCAUCGCAUAUAACACCAACCAAUGCUUGGGAGUAUUACUAUCAACAAAACGAUGAUGGCGAUACACCAUUACAUUUGGCUUGCAUUUCGGGUUAUGUGGAUGUAGUAGCUGCCCUUAUACGCAUGGCCCCUCAUCCCUGCUUGUUUAAUAUACAAAAUGAUGAAGCUCAAACGCCAUUACAUUUGGCAACAUUAACAGCACAACCAAAAAUUAUACGUAUGCUAUUAAUAGCAGGAGCCGAGCCAACUGUACGUGAUCGUCAUGGCAAUACAGCUUUACAUCUUGCCUGUAUGUCGGGUGAAGAACAAUGUGUAAGAGCUUUAACCAUGUCGAUUGGUGCCUCCGAAGUAAAUGAAGCCCACCGACAAUAUGGUCAUCGUGCGAAUGACAAAUCCUAUCUCAAAUAUGCCCAUUUACCUUCAGACUUGGAAAUACGUAAUUAUGAUGGUGAAAGAUGUGUUCAUUUAGCUGCCCAAGCCGGUUAUAUUGACAUUUUGCGCAUUCUGGUUUUAUAUGGAGCAGACAUCAAUGCCAGGGAAGGGAAAUCCGGACGUACUCCUUUACACAUUGCGAUUGAAUGCUGUAACGAGGAUCUGGCAAAUUUCCUUUUAGAUGAGUGCCAAAAAUUGAAUUUAGAAACCGCGACAUAUGCUGGCCUAACAGCCUACCAAGUAGCAUGUGUACUUAACAAAUCAGAAAUGCAGGAUAUCUUGGAGAAACGUGGUGCUGAACCUCUAACACCACCUGACAGUGAUUACGACAGUAGCGACAUAGAAACAGAUCUUGACGAUUCAAAGGUGAGCUUGUAGAAAAGUUUGAAAUAAUAUAAAAAAAAUUCAGCAUCCUCCCUCGUAAGCUUACUGAACUGGCAUUCAGAUAUUGGAAAAUCAAGUAUAAGAUAGCAUAGUAUAUAAUAUGCAUAUAAAGAACUUUCAAAAUCAUAUGUAUUGUCAACCAAAAAUUCAAAGAAACAAUAACAAAAAAAAACAAAAGUCCAAGUAAUAGUUAAAAAAUCCUUUAAAGGAUAGCAACAACAAAAAUGCUCACAAUGUUUUUAGUUUUAUUAAAAUAAAAAAAUAUAAUAUCAUUGUAUGCAUGUUUGUAGAAGGGUAUGAUAGUGGAUCUUCUUUCAACUCUACAGUUCUAUGUUUUAGUAGAGCUUACAAAAGCCCCUUCAAAGGAAUAUACUUCCCUUAAUUAUAAAUAAUUUUUUUUAAGAAUUAUAGCCAAAUUCAUAAAAAUGAUACCGAAUAAUCUGUUAUUCUUGUCUGUUUUUAGAACUCAAAAUGAAUCCGCAUAAUAUAAUUUUAACUACAAAUAAAUACUUUAAAUUUUUUAAGUUGGGCCAGCUUGGCCAUUGAAAUAAAUUUGUAAUUUUCCUGGUAUUAUUGUAGACCACCAGAAUCGUUGGCAAAAGAAAUGAAAUUACAAAAAGAUUUGGCCUUUCAAAAAAUUACUAGUUAGUAGUUGUAUAUGUCUUCUGUAUUGUAUGUGUAUGUGUGUAUGAAUGUAUGUUAAUCAUUGUCUAUUAUUUCCACUCCAGUUUUUGAAGGAGGCCACCGUAGGGCAGAUGCUAGCAUGUCCGCCUAUCACGCUGAAUGCGCUGAAUUUUCCAUUAAGGAACAGGGGCAAGCUUGUCACAUAUCAAUGCGUGUUGUCCGAUUUAAGUUUAAGCUCGAUGAUAAGGGGCCUUCUUUUUAAAGCUGAGUCCGAACGGCAUGUUGCAGUGCGAUACCUUUUUUGGGUAGAAGUUUUUACAAGACAUUGUAUCGCACAAAUCUUGCCAGUAUUCUCGCCAGAAUUUCAACCCAGGCUUACAGCGCCAUAGCCGGACAUGCUAACCUCUACGCCACGUCAUUUAUUGUUCCAUUUGAUUUCUUAAACUUUUGGGUUUUUGAUGCAAUCCUACUCUCUACUCAAUGAGUGCCUUAAAAAAUAAACUAUUUGAAUUGGAAAACUUUAUAAUCCAUUCAAAAACUGGUACUUUUUUAAACGAAAUAUCAACAAAACAAUUUGAUUUAUUCUUUACAAUAGCCGCUAGAACUUUUCAACCACUUAAAAUGGGCUAUGGUUAUUAUUACAAAAAUGUCAAGCUAAGAAUAUGCAAAUCUUUAUUUCGUUUUCUUAUACCAUAGUAUUUAGGACAAACCCCCAUUAUAUUCACAUCAUUAAUGUUAUACUUAUUUAAUUAUUAACCUAUUGUUUUGGAAAAGUGUGUGUGUUUGUGUAUUUUAAUUAUUUUAUCGUUGACUUAGGUGUCUCUACAAUACUAACAACAAACAAAAAGAAGAAAAAAUCCUAGUUUUAAAAGUAACAUAACGUAACUCAGAGAUGUACAAAAUAAAAAAAGAGAUUUAGGGUGUGUGAAAUCCUCUCUUUAAGUUUUAUAAAUUCUCUCUCUCUCUCUCUUCUCUUUAUGAGCAAAAAAUGUAAUAUAUUUCAAUCACAGACAAUAGAUUCUUAUAGAUAACAUUUCCCUCUCUCAAAAAAUGGCAACCACGCAGAGCUGCCUAAUUUAUUUGGUGGAAUCAGCACAUCGGAGAAAAAAAAUCGGCAUUUUCGGGUCUUUUGUUUAAGCUACAAAACACAUAGUUUUAUAAAAAAACAUUUACAUUUAUUCAGGAACUUUAAGUUUCAGUUGGGGUAACGUAAGACUAAUUUUCUUACAUUUUAAAUCAGUCUUUUUAUUUGAUUAGAUUACAAACUCAUUCAUAGUGCAAAACAAGCAAUAUUUCGGAAGAUCAACAUAAACAUAUGUUGAAAUAUGUUAGAUUUUAACACAUAUUCGAUUUGUACUAACUCAGUGCUUAUUUGUACAUCAAAACAAUUAGAGUUAUUACAUUUUAAAAAAUCUUUUGUAUAAAGAAUUCCUUCCAGAGAUUUGUUGUCCAGAGAGGAUCUUAUAUUUGUUUUGUUUAAAUUAACUUGACUAAAAAUUCGCUCUACUUUUGCUGUGGAAUGAGGAAAAAUCAUUGCUGAUUGGACAAAUUUACACAAUGUUGAAAAAUCUGGUUUUGUAUUUCCACGCUUAAUUUCCGAAAUUUUCUUCCAAAAGCUUUUUAAAUUUAUUUCGCAAUCUUUUAACAUUUCUUUAAUAUGUGUGAAAUUUUACUCUCUGAACACUGAAUCUAAUAAUUGUUUCUCGUCUUGACUUAAAGAGUGUGGGAAUUUUUUCAAUAUAUCGACAGUAGUGAUAAUUUUUUCUCAAACAUUUAACUUAAGGAUCAAUCAGUUUUAAAGACUUGAACGACAUGUUAUUAAAAUCAAAACGCUGCAAUAAUUGAUUUGGAAAUUCUGUAUAAAAAUGGAUGCAAGAGUUUAUAAUACUAUUUAAUUCAAAUUUAUGAAGCGUUUUUCCGCAAUAAUCUAUUUGGCGUAUAAGCCUAGAUAAAUUUCAAUGAAUUACAAAUAGUUGUUUGUGUCCAUAAAAUCUGUUAAGUAAAUCUCAUCAUUCAGAGCGUUUUGGUUAAUAAAAUUGCUUAAUACCGUCUAAUACCGUCCGCGAUUGCAGCUAUUGAAUGGCUUUAGCUGUUGCAUAGAUUGAGUAUUGCAAUCAUGGCAUGACUUCCAGAAUUUGCAUAGAUCGACACUGCAAGUUUUGAGCGACUUUAGCUUUUGCAUAGGUUGCAAUCAUAUCAUGACGUCUAGAAUUUGCAAAGCUUGGAGCAAAAAAUCGGCAAAGUGCCGAUAAAUCGGCAAGUCUGGCAGCCCUGCAACCACCAUCAACAAUUAGAAAUCUGACAAAAAGAAGCUAACAAAAAAAUUAAAGUUGUUUUGUAAAAAUAAUUUAAAGUUUAAAAGUACAAAAAAAAAAAUUAAAAAUCGAUUGAAAACAAGUUACAUCAUAUUCAUUAUUCAUACACAGUUCUCUAGAAAUUCUCUCUUCUCUUAAUUUUCUUCGUUUAUGUCUAAUCUUUGCACUUGGUGCCUCUUUAAAAAGUCGAUUGUCUAUCUACUUUUCAUUCACUUGUGAUUUCAAUGGACAAUUGAUGUUUUUAAUAUGAGAAUGUUGCGCAUAUCUUUAGAGCCCCCCACUCAUGUUGAGUGAAACCUGCGAAUGAUGGGACUUUGGGAUUGCAAGCCAUGCUUUUUAUACAAGAAAGCAAGCAAGCGUCCAUGAGGGGGUGGCUUUUCACAUGCGUCCUUUCGCUGCUUUCUCAGUAACAAUUGAAUCCAAGAGAAUAAGAGUACAGAGAAUUUUAAUUUUGUGCAGCUCUGAGUUAAACACAAUACAAUUUUGUUCAAAUACCAUACCAGAGGAUUGUUUCGAUUUAAUAUUUAAAAAAUAAUUAUUUUUAUCAUAAUAACAUAUGACUGAACUGUAUUAUACAAAGAAAAAGAAAAAAGGAAAACAAUAACAAAAACACAACAACCAAAAAAAUAAUAAAUAAAAUAGUUUUUAUUGAAACCUA